UACCGCAUCGAUGAAGUAGAUUCGUCAAACGGUGAAACCGGCGGCUUCGGAAAAGGUAACUGACACGCAAAGCAAUGAGUGGACUUUGGAUUUGCGGACCAAGGAAUUUCGCUCCAGUUUUUCAAUGGAAACAAAUGAUGAUAAGAUCGAGCAAGAUGUGUUGAAAGGAUUAGAACGAGAGAACAACUAGGGCAUUCGAUCGGUAAAGUACAAACUUUUGCUUUACAACGAGGACAAUGAAACCCACCACGAGACGGAAUUGAAUGGCAAGCACAAAGACUUGGCAAUUGCUCAACGACCUUAGAAGGAAAUCCCAUCAUUACCAAAGAAGCAUCA